GGAUUGUGACUCAGUGGUAGAGUGCUCGCCUAGCAUGUGCCAGGCCCUGGGUUCGAUCCUUAGCACCA
rnacentral:tRNA from 1 species